AGGCCAGGCUUAUGAAGGGUCCCGACCCGAAAUGUCAGCUUUCCUGUUCCUCUGAUGCUGCCUGGCCUGCUGUAUUCCUCCAGCUCCACACUGUGUUAUCAGUAAUUCCUUGAAUGUCUUUUGCCUUAAUGGAGAGCAUCUUUCCAUAACCUGAAGACUAGAAAGAUAGAAAAAUGGACUGUCUCACUGGAUUGCCACUGGGUUCAAUAAUGUGAGCUGCAUAAAGGGUGGAAGAGGACAGGCUGCUAUCCGAGCAAAAUGUUGACCUCUUUGAUUGUGGCAUGCACGCAGUACAUCUCAUGUCACAAUGGAAAGAAAAGGGGGUGGAUUCAACAUAGACUGUUACAGAAGGAACCAUGGUGGCCAGGCCCACUGGACAGAUGAUACAGUCGGCUCCCAGUGAUAGGAAAACCUCCCCCAGUCAAGCUGGAAGGCAAAAGGUGUUGGCACAGAAUUCCCAUUGGCAGGAUGUCAGUUAGGCUCAUUAAUGAGCCAAUUAACAUCCUUCUACUUGAACCCAUCAAAAUGUAGUGGUGGUUUAAGGAUUAAAUGGAAGCUAUACAGUUUCCAUGCAUCUCAGAAAGGCCAUCAGCAAAGCAAGGGGGGCUGUGGGGUGGGAGGGUGCAGGUAAGGAGGGGAGUAGGGGCCUUGUUAUUUGGCCUGAUUGAGGGAUCCAAUCUUGCAAUGGCAGCGUAUACUGAAUUAGUCUCCUCCAUGUACUUGCCAAUCCAACUUCCCGCUUUACACCUCUCCCCAUGGUCCUUACUCUGCCCAGAGGAACGAACCAGUCAUACUUAGGAACGAACGUACUGAUCAUACUGGGGCUCCAUUUUCAGUUAUACAGGAUGCAUCAGGCCAAUUUAUGUCUUUUGCAAGUUUUACUGGUUUUCCAUUCUGGGUGUAAGCCCCAUCCUGCCCUCAAUUACCUGUAGCUUCGGUCCUUCACUGGUCCUGGACCUCUGGUGAAUACACUGCACCCCACCCCCCACUUCAUUGAAAUGCUCAGUGGGUGGGACUUCUGUUGUCUGGUCUGAAACCAAAUGCCCACAGGGCACUUACUCCCAAGGUGUCCCCCGUGAAACUGAUAGGGGUUUCCCUACCAAUGUUCCAAAUAGCAGGCAAGCCCUUCAACUCCACUAAGUCCGACCCAAAACUGCAGUCAACCUCAAUCCUAUAUAGACCUGCUUGAUACAGAGAAAAUUCACAGUAAUCCUUGGCUAAGGUUUAUUUGACUCCAUCAAUGAUUUAGUGCAGAGAGCAAUGGCAGUAUUGCUUGCCCCUCACUUACCAAAAACAAACGUCUUCCAUGGAAUUUUCUUGGCCAAUACAGUUCUAAGAGUUACUUCUUUUUUCUCUUCUUCAACAAGUUCUUCUAGAAAUCCAUUUCUAAAAGCAAGUUGAAAAUAUUGUAUCAUUCGUUAUUUGACUAAUAAUCAUAAUUGGAAAAAGAAAACACAGCUUUUAAAUAGUAAUAAAUAUGAUGAUAAACCUCGGUGACAAACAAAUAUUGUAACUUAAAGGUCAGAAAAAAAACUCAGAAUGAGAAAAUGCAACUUAUGAAACCCAUUUCAUUUGGAACCCAAACGGCAUCGACUUGUUGAUGUACAGACUCAACAUUUCUUAUUGGUUAAAACGAAUUGAGCAAUAACAAUAGCCUACCUAACAAAA